CUUGUAAGAGCCCAGCACAGCACAGAUUUACAAAAUGAUACACAAAGACCUCAGAGAGUCUUGCUUUGUUGUCCAGGCUGGAAUGCAGUGGCUCAAUUUCGGUUUACUGCAACCUGCACCUCCCAGACUCAAGUGAUUCUCCUGCUUCAGCCUCCCAAGUAGCUGGGAUUACAGUGGUACAUCCUGUAGUUGAGGGCUUCUUAAACCUGAUGAAAUACCAUAGGUUCUACAUGUCAGAUGGAGUCUCACUCUGUCACCCAGGCUGUAGUCCAGUGGCAUGAUCCCGGCUCACUACAACCUCCGCUUCCUGGGUUCAAGCAAUUCUCCUGCUUGUGAUUUCCUCCAUUUGGAUUAGAUAAGACAGUGCUGCAAUAGGACUUUUUUGGGCCUAGAACGAGAAAAAAAGGAGUGCAUUCUCAACAAGGAAGCCCAUUUCAGGUAAAAACAUGAAACAGUAAAAUACUUCCGUAGCUGGGCAGAAGACAGAAGAAUAAUGUCUUAACAGGGCUGCAGUAGGAUACAAUGAGUUUAUAUCUAGCAUAACCUUUCAUUUAGCAUUUUAUAGUUAUGAUAUCAUAACUAAAAUUAACUUUCCUGAGACAAGGUUCAGUUUCAUGUAGAAAUGAGCAAUUAAAAAAUAAAGAUGUAUUUAUUCC
rnacentral:antisense_RNA from 1 species